AGAGAGAUGGCUGAGUGGUCUAAAGCGACUGAUUGCUAAUCUGUUAUAUAUUAUUUCAUAUAUAUCGAGGGUUCGAAUCCCUUUCUCUCUA
rnacentral:tRNA from 1 species